CUUGCCUUUUAUUGUGAAGAUGUUCACAUUUGUAGAUCCGGCAUCACUGGCCCCUCUGCAGGAAACUAUCUUCAUCCACUGUAGUACAGCUGCGUGCCACCCCUCAUCUCUUGGAUCCUGUGAGCAGAGUUGCAGCAGGAAAAGAAGGGAUGUUCACAUGAAGACUAUCUCUAGCAGGGACACCAUAGUUUCCAGUGGAGAAGUUACUUUGGUCAUGUAAUCCUGUAUUAAGAUGGCUGUUUUAAUAAACUUGAUUAAACCCUGAAUCUGUUACUGUC